rnacentral:rRNA from 1 species
GACGAACGCUGGCGGCGUGCCUAAUACAUGCAAGUCGAACGCAGUGGGGACGGGUGAGUAACACGUGGGUAACCUCCCAUCAGAGGGGAUAACACUUGGAAACAGGUGCUAAACCGAUACUGAUGGAUGGAACCGCGGGGCAUUAGCUAGUUGGUGAGGUAACGGCUCACCAAGGCCACGAUGCAUAGCCGGUCUGAGAGGAGGACAGGCCACACUGGGACUGAGACACGGCACAGACUCCUACGGGAGGCAGCAGUAGGGAAGAUUGGGCAAUGGACGAAAGUCUGACCGAGCAACGCCGCGUGAGUGAAGAAGGUUUUCGGAUCGUAAAACACUGUUGUCAGAGAAGCGGUACCUGACGAGAAAGCAACGGCUAACUACGUGCCAGCAGCCGCGGUAAUAC